rfam:Triticum urartu cultivar G1812 contig137198, whole genome shotgun sequence.
GACAUACUCCUUCCUUUCCGAACUACUUGUUUUUGGAUUUAUCUAGAUACGGAUGUAUCUAAACUCAUUUUAGUGCGAGAUACCUCCGUAUCUAAACAAAUCUAAGACAAGAAAUUCGGAACGAAGGGAGUAGUAU